rnacentral:lncRNA from 1 species
UCGAAUGAUUUCUUGUUGAGUUAUAACAGAAAACGCACUUGUUGCUUAAGUUUUGCACACCAGUGUAAUAUUUAAGUAAUUACCUCAUUUUUUCUGAAAAGCACAAAUAUAUUUACAGUAAGACUUUUGUAAUUUACCCACUUACUUCUUUUGUCUUCUUAAACGAAAGGAAUUAAUUAUUUUUGAUAAUUUAGUAAUACAUUUAUAAAGGUGAUCAACUUACAUUGUAGGUGAUCAACUUACAAAAGUUUCCAAUUAAGCAGGUUUCACUGUUUGAUGUAUUUUUAAUUGGUAUGACAUUUUUGUAUUUUCUACUCUGUUCUAUUAUUUAGAAAGAAAACUUUAUUUAAUCUCAUAAUAUUGCUUUUGAGAUUUUAUUCUUUUCUAAAUUGAUUUUAUGUUUGCAGAUUGCAUUAUUAAUCACUUUUCACAGUUACUAUGAAGUUAUAUGAAAUACAUUACUUUUUGACCUAACACAUCAUUCUUCAUUUCAAUUUUCCUAGAUUGUUUGUUUUGUUUUUUCGGAAAAAAGAAGGUUUAUAUAGUCUAUUGUCAGGAAAAAUACAGUGGUUUCAGCUUCUUUAUUUAAGGUUUUGACGCUUUGUGAGGAAGAUAAGUAAAAUCAACGAUUUUUGUACAAAAGGACAAUCUGACAGAGGAAAUUUAAAGUUAAUUAGUCAGAAAGAAACAAGAAAUUUUAUCAAUACUAAGAUAUCAAAGAAAUGUCUGGAAAUUUAACUGAUAUAUCCCAAUAGUCGUGAGAAAUUAAUUUGAGUUUGUAGCACUUAAGUCUUUUUUUUUUGUUUUAUUUUUUUUUAAAAUUUAUUUUGUUCAAGUUUUUUUUAAAAAUUUGUUUAUUUUAAACUUUAAUGGCAAAAAUAAAUGUUUCAUAAUGAUUUUAUGUAUAAGAAUAAAACAUAACUGAAAAUUUGCAAUGAGAUUUGUGCCACCAGUUAGAAAAAUCUAACUUCGAUAAAAUCAAGCUAAAAAAUCAUGAAAAUUCAUUAAAAUUAGUUGGAAAUUCAAUAAAAUUAUUCUGAAAAAUUCACGAAAGAGGAAGGAAUUUUUUUUCUGAAUGUUUGUGGCCUCCCUAAAAGAGCCCCUUAAAAAAAAUCAGCUUGAUUUUUAUUAACACAAAUUUCUGUUGCAUCGUCUCAAACUUAAGAUAUCUGUGACUUGAUCAUUCAAAGUUUUUAUCUAAGUGUCCCCACGUUUUUAUUUAAGUGUCCGUGUAAUAGAUCAUGAAGGUUGAGGCUGAACAAUUUCUUGACCAUGAUGGUAGCAAUAUGGUCAGCAUUAUUGGCCAUAUUACACUUGAUCUGAAGUUAAAUGCCUGUUUAUAGUUAUAUUGCAUAACAUAUUGAUUUAAAUAUUUAGUUACUGUAUUUUUCUUUUCCUUUUUAUAACAAACCAUUAUAAAAAAAAUUAUAACAGCAUUUGAUACUUGUUAUAACAACCUGCUGUAUCAGCAUUUGAAACUUGUUAUAAUACAUUGAAAUUAUUUAAUGUAAAUGCAUAAAAGGAAUGUAAAAGCCAUGCUGUAUUUUAAUAUUUAGCAGCAAUAAUUGCUUGAUGCAUUGUAACAAUAUACUGUAAAAUGUAAAUGCUUUUGUAAUAGAGUAUGCACUUAAGCACAAGUUUAACAUUUUGUGACAUAAAUAUAAUUUUAUAUAUUAAUAAAUUUUAAAAUUAUUUCUAUUUUUUGAUUCUUAAUUUCUCAUUAAUUUCCCAGUGAGUGAAAGAAUCUGUUUGUUUUCUGACUUAUUCAUGUUUGUUCUUGUAGGGACAGUGGUGUAUUUAAAAAUGAAUGUGUUUUAGAAUCCAACAAUGUGCCUGCUACUUUUUCUUUUGAGGAUGAAGCUUAUUUGUCCUGUUUGAAUUCAUCGUUUGAAAAUGUGAUUCUUAGAUUUUUGAAUUGGUAGGAUUUGAAAAAAAGAAUUACAGAAGUUGAAAA